ACGGCGUAGUCAAAUCGGGUAAACAUCUCGUGCAGUCAAUAAAAAAUAAGAAUUAAAUCGAAUGUCAUUUGAAUAUCGCGCGAAAAUAACCGUUUCUGAAAUGGCGGAAAAUGGAGAGGUUUACAAGAAAUCCUUUAACGGGACGUGCACCCUCGGGGUGAACAAAAAGGUGAAGAGUUCCAUCGCCCAAAGGGCAGAGGCGUACAUGCAAGCAGUUAGCAAAAGCCAAGGAUUGCCGGAAAAAGUGACUGUCACAAACCAAAAACCUGCCUUUAGGCUGGAGUCGAUGUCCAGGGUGGCCGCCAUUCCCAUCGUGGAGUCAGGAAUCGGCGUUACGGAGAAGAUUUAUCACACGAUAAAGGAGUCCAACCCGAUCUUUCGCUGGUACUUAUCGAUGGGCGAGUACUCGUUGACUAAGGGCGCGCAGUUGGCGCGGCCGGCCGUCAUGCUGUUCGAGACGCCCAUCCACCAGCUCGACAAGUUCCUCUGCAAGUCCCUGGACAUCGUCGGCGAGCGGGUGCCCUCGAUCUACCUGCCUCCGCAGGAUAUGUACUCCGAAACCCGGCGCUUCGUGCUCCGCCGCGCGGACUCCGUGAAGCAGCUGGGGACAGCCGUGCUGGAUUCGCGCGUGACCGCGGUGACCGCCACCGCGCUGGACCGCGCGCUCACCACCGCAGACAAGUACGUCGACAAGUACCUGCCGCCUGACAACCAGGACGCCAAUGACGUGGCGAUCGUGGUGACGGGCGCGGAAGGCUCGGAGGGCGAGGCGGAAGGCGGACGCGCGUGCGCGGCGGCGGCGGUGCAGCACGGCGCGCGCCUGCGCAGGAAGCUGCAGCGCCGGCUCACGCGCCAGGCGCUGGCCGAGGCCAAGGCCAUCAAGGAGCAGAUACACGUGCUCGUCUAUGUUGCUGAGCUGGUGGCAACCGACCCAGCCCUUGCAUGGAAGAAGGCCAAAGAGCUGUACUCGUCGCUGAGCCAGCCCGAGCCGGAGAACCAGGCCCGACCUGAAACUGUUGAGGAGAUGCUGGUGCUGCUGUCCCGCGAGACCGCGCGCAAGCUCGUGCACCUCGUCAACUACACGCACACUGACUUGCCCAGGAAUGUGCGCCAAGGCCUGUCGAUGAUCACGAGGCACCUGUCGUCCGCCGCCGACGCGCUGCUCAAGGUAGUGACCAGGCGCGCCGCCGUCGCCCCCGCGCUCCUGCACCGCGCCUUCGCCCUGCAUCUAUCCAUCAUCGCACCCCAGCCCAACGGUGCCGGUGGAGGCGGCGCUGACUGAGAUGCGCGGCUGGCGCUCCCGCCUGGCGGCGCUGCUGCAGCAGCUCAAGCAAACCUCGCACUCAUAUUUGGAACACCUCGCCGUAUUUCUGGCAGGCAACGAGGAGCGGGAGAAGAUCGCCCCGCGCUCCACGUACGAGGCGCGCGACGACCUCGCCGCCAUUAAUGGAGUCAAUUGAUAUAUUUAAUUACUAUUAUUAAGCCACUGUCGACGGAUCCAGGUUCUUUUUUCUAACCGUCAUUCGCAUCUUUAGGCGUUUAUCAUUACAAGUAAAGACUGUUUUAACGCGCUAAUAUUUCGAGCAAUCAGUUUUUAUCAAGAUAAUUGACAUUCUUAAAAAAACUCGCUUGUUUUGAUUUCAAUAACUUAUCUUCACUGAUUACAGUGGUUUUGGCCGACGAAUUAAUUUAUUUAUAGAGUUGUUAUUGAAUCACGAUUGCAGAUCCUGGAUUCGUAUUUUUGUUAUUUGAACAAGUUACACAAUAUCAUUAAAGUGACAUCACUGUAGCGCCUAAGAAUGGAUUUUUAUAAAAAGUAGAUUCAACCGAGGACAUAAAAUAGUCCCUUGUCGCACUCCCUAUUCGUUUAUUUGGAAGAAAAUCUCUGCCUUAAAGUU